rnacentral:rRNA from 1 species
GUAAUACGGAGGGUCCAAGGUUUAAUGGAAAUUAUUGGGGUUAAAGCGCAGCCGGGCGGUUUUUUAAUCUGGAUGUGAAAGCCCCGGGUUCAACCUGGGAUGGUCAUUUAAAACUGGCAGACUAGAGUCUUGGAGAGGGGAGUGGAAUUCCAGGUGUAGCGGUGAAAUGCGUAGAUAUCUGGAGGAACAUCAGUGGCGAAGGCGACUCCCUGGCCAAAGACUGACGCUCAUGUGGGAAAGUGUGGGUAGCGAACAGGAUUAGAUACCCUGGUAGUCCACACCGUAAACGCUGUCUACUAGCUGUGUGUGACUUUAA